rnacentral:rRNA from 1 species
UACGUAGGGUGCAAGCGUUGCCCGGAUUUAUUGGGCGUAAAGGGCGCGUAGGCGGCUCGGCACGUCCGUUGUGAAAUCGCCCGGCUCAACUGGGCGGGGUCAGCGGAUACGGUCGAGCUUGAGCAAGCUAGGGGGCAAUGGAAUUCCCGGUGUAGUGGUGGAAUGCGUAGAUAUCGGGAGGAACACCAGUGGCGAAGGCGACUACCUGGCCUGUUCUUGACGCUGAGGCGCGAAAGCUAGGGGAGCAAACGGG